UGAUCCUGGCUCAGGAUGAACGCUAGCGGCAGGCUUAACACAUGCAAGUCGAGGGGUAACAUUGUAGCUUGCUACAGAUGACGACCGGCGCACGGGUGCGUAACGCGUAUAGAACUUACCUUUUACAGAGGGAUAGCCUUUAGAAAUGAAGAUUAAUACCUCAUAGUAUUAUUGAUUGGCAUCAAUUAAUAAUUAAAGAUUUAUCGGUAAAAGAUGGCUAUGCGUCCUAUUAGCUAGAUGGUGAGGUAAUGGCUUACCAUGGCUACGAUAGGUAGGGGCCCUGAGAGGGGGAUCCCCCACACUGGUACUGAGACACGGACCAGACUCCUACGGGAGGCAGCAGUGAGGAAUAUUGGGCAAUGGAGGUAACUCUGACCCAGCCAUGCCGCGUGCAGGAAGACUGCCCUAUGGGUUGUAAACUGCUUUUAUACAGGAAGAAACACUCGUACGUGUACGAGCUUGACGGUACUGUAAGAAUAAGGACCGGCUAACUCCGUGCCAGCAGCCGCGGUAAUACGGAGGGUCCGAGCGUUAUCCGGAAUCAUUGGGUUUAAAGGGUCCGCAGGCGGUCAAUUAAGUCAGAGGUGAAAUCCCAUAGCUUAACUAUGGAACUGCCUUUGAUACUGGUUGACUUGAGUCAUAUGGAAGUAGAUAGAAUGUGUAGUGUAGCGGUGAAAUGCAUAGAUAUUACACAGAAUACCGAUUGCGAAGGCAGUCUACUACGUAUGUACUGACGCUCAUGGACGAAAGCGUGGGGAGCGAACAGGAUUAGAUACCCUGGUAGU
rnacentral:rRNA from 1 species